GACGAACGCUGGCGGCGUGCCUAAUACAUGCCAGUAGAACGCUGAAGAGAGGAGCUUGCUCUUCUUGGAUGAGUUGCGAACGGGUGAGUAACGCGUAGGUAACCUGCCUUGUAGCGGGGGAUAACUAUUGGAAACGAUAGCUAAUACCGCAUAACAAUGGAUGACGCAUGUCAUUUAUUUGAAAGGGGCAAUUGCUCCACUACAAGAUGGACCUGCGUUGUAUUAGCUAGUAGGUGAGGUAAUGGCUCACCUAGGCGACGAUACAUAGCCGACCUGAGAGGGUGAUCGGCCACACUGGGACUGAGACACGGCCCAGACUCCUACGGGAGGCAGCAGUAGGGAAUCUUCGGCAAUGGGGGCAACCCUGACCGAGCAACGCCGCGUGAGUGAAGAAGGUUUUCGGAUCGUAAAGCUCUGUUGUAAGUCAAGAACGGGUGUGAGAGUGGAAAGUUCACACUGUGACGGUAGCUUACCAGAAAGGGACGGCUAACUACGUG
rnacentral:rRNA from 1 species